GAAAGCGAAAAAACUUAAGCAAAUUAUUUUUUUUUUUUUGCAAAUUUUGAUGUAAAGUUUUUUGUUUUGUGAACGUAAAAGGCCAAAGUGCACCAGUAAAAAUUAAUAAAUAUCUUUUGAAAUAUGGAGGACUUGAAUAAAGAGACAUAUGUGAAAAAACAAAAGGAUAAAGAGGAACGAAAAUCCUUCAUGAACAGAAAAGCUUUGACAUUAAAUUAUUGCAGACUAAGUUAAAAGUUGAAUGAAUUUUUCUUCUUAAAAGCAAAAUAACGUUAUAUUAAAUUAAAUCUAAAUGUUUUAACUAAAGUAGACCAUAAAACACAAAUUGAUUCCAAGUGAAUUUUGACUUGAAAUUUCCGUUAACAUUAAAACAAUAUAUAAUUAAUAUAUUGUAAAGCAAAAUAUAUUGUAAAGCUUUGUUUUACAGCAAUUGCUCUAAAUUAUUCAGUAAUAAGUAAAAAAUUUAACGUCAUAAGCUGUAUUUUUCGAAUAUAAAUAAAGGUUUACAGAUAAAUGAAUUCGGUCAAUGUUCGAUAUUAUUGAAAGUCACGCCUAAAUUACCAGUGAUACUUGUUGAUUAUGACGUGCACAAAAGAGGAAAUAAAAGAAGAAUACAACUACUACGAAAAAUGAUUGAUAUAACCGCAUGAUCAUCAGUUUGGAGCAGUGAGGAUUGCGACGGGUGAAUCAAUUCACCGAUGUAUAAUAAAAACCAUGGUGUUAAUGUAUAUGAGACAAUGCUAAGCUGGAGACAUGAAAGUUCCUUAACGCGAGUAUUGGUGCAAAAACAAUAUGCACGAAUAGUCAAAUUAAUCCAUUGUUAGAAAUGUGAACAGCGCAGUAACAACAUUUAUUAGCAUAUUAAGGGUAGGAGUUUUUAAUUUCAUAAAAAAUUCUGAACAAAAACAGAGUUUGUAACUAGCAUAAGAAAAGUACACGCAAGCACGUAAAAAAUGGAAAUAAAUAAAAGAAAGAAGAACGGAAUGUUACAAAUAUAUAUGUAUGUAAAUGCUAACUGCGGUGUCAUCUCUAAUACAGCAGUACACACAACUGCCGUCAAAUGUACUAGAACUCAAGUAUUAUUAAAUGCAGCGCUACCUAGCCAUCAACACAUACACCUUAACGAAAUCACCAUCACUUUGUGGUUAAUGAUUAGUGUAUUCCUGUGUGUCGUAUAAUAACAUGGAUUUAGGAGUCUGAGGAAGCAAUUUCGGAGUGUCUCAUACAAGAUUUUGGGCCAAAACAGAGGGUAAGUAGAGUAGGGCUUAGAAUAGCCCAGGCAUAAGUUCAGUCCGUCCAGUAAAAGACGUCGAUCUGUCUCCAAAAGGGUCACUGGGCGGGUAUUUCUUAACUGCAAUCUUGCAAAAAUGCAACUCGGCAUACUUGCGAAAGAUAACGAAGAAGUUUGGGGUGUUUUGGUCCUGUGACCAGAAUAUGGAAAAGUUUAUGUAAAUUUGUCCUUAAUAUAUAUUUUAUAUGAACUUCAGGACUUUAUUUAACAUGCUUCGGAUUGUCCGAUUUGGGUCAAAUAUGCACCGUUUUGGUGUAUGAUUUGGUAAGGUAGCUUCAAAAUGGCUCUCUCAUAGAAGUCCUGGUCUCUAUUUGCAAAAAACUCUAGUAGUCGAUUUUCACAAUCCUCCCUAGAUU